UUCCCCCUCUAUUUCUCCCUCUAUCUUUUUCUCUCCCUGUCAGGGCAAAGAUGGAAGAGAGUUUUGAGAUGUUUGAGGAGGAGUUAGGCAGGCCAGAGCCUCCCCCUCAAAAGCCCACAGACCAGUUCCAGAAAUGAAUGCCAAGGAAAGAAGAAUAACCCUACAGGAACAGACCAUGCCUUCUCAACAGGAACCUCCAAUCUUGCAGCAGCAAGUCCCCAAGAUAAUGCCCAGAGAACCCAGUGUCCCCGGCAGAAGCAGUGAGCCCACCUCUCUCUCUCCUCUGUCUCUCUCUGCCCUUCAUCUCUCUCUCUAUCUCUCGUUCUCUGUCUCUCUCUCGCUCUUUCUGUCUCUUUCCCACAAUAACAUGACAAAGUCACCUGAUUUAUCAGUGGUGGAAAAAGUACCCAAUUGUCAGACAUGAGUAAAAGUAAAGAUACCUUUAUAGAUACCUUUAUACCUUUAUAUUUCCUCUCUAGGUUUCGUCCUAGGUUUUGGCCUUUCUAGGGAGUUUUUCCUAGCCACUGUGCUUCUACACCUGCAUUGCUUGCUGUUUGGGGUUUUAGGCUGGGUUUCUGUACAGCACUUUUGAGAUAUCAGCUGAUGUACGAAGGGCUAUAUAAAUAAAUUUGAUUUGAUUUGAUAGAAAGUUACUCAAGUAAAAGUGAAAGUUAUGCAGUAAAAUACUACUUGAGUAAAAGUCUAAAAGUAUUUGGUUCUAAAUAUACCCCGCCUUCUCCCUGAAGGAGAAGGGUGCGGUGAACAUCAGCCAAUUCCACCCAAUCUCCUUACUGAAUAUCGAGGGUAAAAUCUUCAUUGCCCAGAGGAUGGCCGAGUACCUGCAAAGGAAUGCGUACGCCGAUACAUCUGCACGGAAGGCAGGAAUAUCAGGGUUCUCUGGCUGCUUGGAACAUUCCAGCAUGAUCUGGCACCAGAUCCAAAUGGCCAAGGUGGAGAAAAGGGACCUCCGUGUAGUCUUCCUCGUCCUCUGUGCCCCAUGAACUCCUGUGGUCUGCCUUCAGAUUUUUCCACAUACCGGACACCAUCACAAUCCUGGUGAAGUCGUACUUCCAGGAUCCGCAGUUCUGCUUCACCACCUCAUGGCAGUGCCUGAAUGUAGGUAUAAUGGUGGGAUGUACCAUUUCUCCGUUGGCAUUCAUAAUGGCAAUGGAGGUUAUCAUCAGAUCCUCAAAAUGGGUUGCUGGUGGACAGCGAGUCGACUCUGGUUUCCGCCUCCCUCCACUCAGAGCCUACAUGGACGAUAUUACACCAUUGACCACCACUGUCCCAUGCAUCAGGAGACUGCUCAAAAAACUCGAGGAGAACAUCAGCUGGGCCCGUAUGAAGAUUAAACCAUCCAAGUCACGUUCUUCAUCGGAGAUGACCAAAUCCCAACAGUGUCUGAGCAGCCGGUAAAAAGCCUUGGAAGGUAGUAUGAUGCAAGCCUGAAGGACAAAGACCAGGUGCAACAGCUGCGUAAAGACAUCAGUAGUAGCCUACAGUCCAUCGACAACACCCAGCUACCUGGAAAGUUAAAGGCCUGGUGUCUGCAGUUUGGUCUCCUACCCCGGUUGUUGUGGCCCCUAGCAGUG
ensembl:lncRNA